rfam:Tribolium castaneum strain Georgia GA2 linkage group LG8, whole genome shotgun sequence.
GUGGGCUAUGGCGACAUGGUCCCGAAAACCUACGCUGGGAUGUUCGUUGGGGCUUUGUGUGCCCUUGCUGGGGUUCUGACUAUUGCACUCCCAGUCCCGGUCAUCGUUUCCAAC